rnacentral:rRNA from 1 species
AUGAAGCUCAAGUUCCCCAUGAUUCUCCGCUUCCCUGAUGUGCUCCGGCACCGGCUCGACGCGCUCCAUGUCGCGUUCGCGGCGGCCAUCAAGCACACGGGGUACCACUCCGCGUACCAUGGGGUGUUCCCGGUGAAGGUGAACCAGAACGAGGCGGUGGUGCAGGACAUGGUCCGCUUCGGCCACGAGCACGACCACGGGCUCGAGGCCAGCUCCAAGCCGGAUCUGCUCACCGCCAUGAGUUGCCUCCUCACCAGGGCCAAGUCGGGCGCCUACCUGGUGUGCAACGGCUACAAGGACAAGGACUAUGUCGCGCUCACCCUGGCGGCGCGUGGCAUGGGCUUCAGCGCCGUCAUCGUGCUGGAGAUGGAGGAGGAGCUCGACAUCGUCGUCGAGCAGAGCCGCAGGCUCGGCGUCGAGCCGACCAUUGAGCAGAGCAGGCGGCUCGGCGUCGAACCGGCCAUUGGUGUUCGUGCCAAGCUGCUCACCAGGUUACCGGGCCAUUUCGGGUCCACGGCCGGCAAGCACGGAAAGUUCGGGAUCUUGGCGGAGAGGAUCUACGAGGUGGCCCGGAAGCUCAAGGUUCUGAACAAGCAGCACUGGCUCAAGCUGCUGCACUUCCACGUCGACUCCAUGAUCCCGUCCACGGACAUCGUCUUCAAGGCGGCCAGCGAGGCCGCCGGGAUCUACUGCGCACUCGUGAACGACUUUGGCGCGGAGGCAAUGACCACGCUGGACUGCGGCGGCAGACUCGGUGUCGACUAUGACGGGACACGAUCGGGCAACUCCGACAUGCCGGUGGCGUACGGGCUGGAGGAGUACGCGUCCAGCAUCGUGCAGGCGGUGAGGCUCAAGUGUGACGACAACGGCGUUCACCCCGUGCUCUGCAUGGAGAGCGGCCGCGCCAUAGCGUCGCACCACUCCAUGAUCAUCCUCGAGGCGCUCUCCGCGAUCCCCGAGCCGAGAGAUGACAGCGAGACCACCGAGCAGCUGCACGCCAAGAUCCAUGAGCUGGCCACGAAGCAGCAGCCGAGGGCGGGUGGCGUGGCAGCGGGCAUGUCCUCCUCCCAUGCCUUGGACAUCAAGAAGCAGGGCAUCGAGAUGUACAAGCUGGGGAAGAAGCUGUCCAAGAGCGUCAUGGCUGACGCCACCAUCAUCUAUAACUAUCACAUGAACCUGUCCGUCUUCUCGCUGGUCCCCGACUUCUGGGGCAUCCAGCAGCUGCUCCCAAUGAUGCCAGUGAGCCGGCUCCACGAGAGGCCGACCUGCAUGGCCACGCUCGUCGACCUCAAGAUGGACAGCGAUGGGAAGAUCGAGAAGUUCAUCGGCGGCGCCGAGACGCUGCCUCUGCACUCGCUGGACCCCGCCGUCGGCGGCCACUACGUGGCCGUGUUCCUCUCCAGCACGUACCAGGAGGCGUUGUCCUCUAAGCACAACCUGUUUGGCGGUCCGAGCCUGGUGCGCGUGCUUGGCGACGACGACGGUGAGUUCAUACUUGACACAGUUGACUUGGGGCCGGUGACGGAGGAGCUCAUUGGCACCAUGAGGUACAACGUCAAGGAGGACAUCGGCGGCGUGAUCGAGGAGAGGGCAAGGAAGAAGCAGGUGUGGGAAAUGGUGGGAGCGCUCGUGGAGAAUGGGCUCAACACCAUGCCGUACCUCGUCAACUAUCAGCCCCCACCAACCGCCUAG